UAGACAUGGUAUUAACAUAUGGGCCAGAGCAAGGCACAAUCAAAAUUUCUUUAGGAAUUUUCUAGUUAUUAUUAUUCUUCCGUACGUUUUUCGGCGCGCUACUCCUCCCGGAGCUUUUGUCGCACGUACACAAGAAAGGUAUCAAAACGUGCGGCUCGGCCGGGAAUCGAGUGCUAUGACUUUUCUAAGAAUUUCGCCAAACGGUUCGCCGGUAAAUCGCCAAAAACCGGUCCAAAAAAUGAAUGGGUGUGUAUUGCGAGAACCUCCAACCGAAAAAAACUGCCAGAGUGCGUGACAUCAUCGCUAGAGUGUGGGGAGAGAGAAAAAUUUGUCGAAAAAUAAAUUUGUAAACUGCUGUCAUGGCCACAAAUUUCACUGUACAGAAAUAAUUUAUAGAUAGAAACGUAGGUAAAUUCGUUGGGGUCGCAGUGAUACUACUGCUGAAGCUGUCAGACAAAUAGUUUUGGCGGGAGACGCACUGAUGCGCCAGCAACUCCCUCUCAUGGCCCCAUCUACUCCCAUGUUAAAAUGGAGAGGAGGAUUCUUGAAAAACGCUCGUUGAACCUCUUCUCUCUCAAUCUCCCCAGGUCACAUUUUUUAACUUUAACCACUGAAACUCGGCAGCGCUAUAGUCAACAAGAUGACGACGCUCACGGUCUUUUCGGUUUUCAUUUCGGUCGUUCCUGGCCAUGCUUUUGAGGGGAUUCAUUUUAAAUGUUUUCUGUCUCUCUGAGGAGUUAGAGACAGAGAGAGAGCGUGCGCAGCUGCUGUGGGCUCCCCUGAUUGCCAUGACAACCAAAGCCUGCUCUCACACACACACACACACACACAGCUAGCUACAGAGAAUGACAAGACAUUAAUAAGCUAGCGCUAGCUGGCUAGCUAAAGAUAAUUAGAAGGUGGCUAACAAACAAACAAUUUAAAGCUGAAUGAUUUUAAUAUUAACACAAAAUAAGAACAAUACACCUUAAAUAUUUUACCCUACUAUGAGCUGUUCCUUAAUUUACAUUAGCACUCCUUCAGGAGAAUAAUACAAUUAAACACAUUAACCACAGCUAGCACUUAGCUAGCGAUUAGCGCUUAGCUAGCGAUUAGCAUGUAGCUAGCGAUUAGCGGUUAGCUAGCGAUUAGCGGUUAGCUAGCGAUUAGCGGUUAGCUAGCGAUUAGCACGUAGCUAAGCGCUAGCUUUGGUUUAUGUGUUUAUGUGUGCUAGCUCUAGCUAGCUAACUAAAGAGAAUGACAUGAUAUUAAUAUGCUAGCGCUAGCUAAGGAGGAUGACAGGUUAUCAAUAUGCUAUAGGGAGGAUUACAUGGCAUUAAUAAUCUAGCGCUAGCUGGCUAGCUAAAGAUAAUUAGAAGGUGGCUAACAAGCAAACAAUUUAAAGCUGAAUGAUUUUAAUAUUAACACAAAAUAAGAACAAUACACCUUAAAUAUUUUACCCUACUAUGAGCUGUUCCUUAAUUUACAUUAGCACUCCUUCAGGAGCAAAAUACAAUUAAACACAUUAACCAAAGCUAGCACUUAGCUAGCGAUUAGCGGUUAGCACUUAGCUAGCGAUUAGCGCAGAGCUAGCCAUUAGCGCAGAGCUAGCGAUUAGCGCAGAGCUAGCGGUUAGCACGUAGACAUGGUAUUAACAUAUGGGCCAGAGCAAGGCACAAUCAAAAUUGCUUUAGGAAUUUUCUAGUUAUUGUGCCUUGCAUAAGCAAGCACAAUACUACUCUUCCUCGGGCUUAUUAAACUUAUUAUUAUUCUUCCGUACGUUUUUUCGGCGCGCUACUCCUCCCGCAGCUUUUGUCGCACAUACACAAAAAAGGUAUCAAAACGUGCGGCUCGGCCGGGAAUCGAGUGCUAUGACUUUUCUAAGAAUUCCGCCAAACGGUUUGCCGAUAAAUCGCCGAAAACCGGUCCAAAAAAUGAAUGGGUGUGUAUUGCGAGAACCUCCAACUGAAAAAAACUGCCAGAGUGCGUGACAUCAUCGCUAGAGUGUGGGGAGAGAGAAAAAUUGGUGGAAAAAUAAAUUUGUAAACUGCUGUCACGGCCACAAAUUUCACUCUACAGAAAUAAUUUAUAGAUAGAAACGUAGGUAAAUCCGUUGGGGUCGCAGUGAUACUACUGCUGAAGCUGUCAGACAAAUAGUUUUGGCGGGAGACGCACUGAUGCGCCAGCAACGCCCUCUCACGGCCCCAUCUACUCCCAUGUUAAAAUGGAGAGGAGGAUUCUUGAAAAACGCUCGUUGAACCUCUUCUCUCUCAAU